AUAUCACUUCUUGUAACUCAACUUGUAAUCCAAAUUGAUCAACCAAACGUCAUUUCCAAAUUCGUUUCCGAUUUCGCCAUUUUAUUAAGUCAUUAUCUUGUAUUGACCUAAAAUGACUUAAUGGGUGUCUUAAUGCCAUUUGGAAUCCUUUUAACACCCCAUUAUAGUUAUCGGAAUAAUUCUAGAAUCGACCAUAUCGAGUCACGACAAUUUGGUCGGGUAUGACCAAAAGCCCCACUUAACGUCGGUAUCGGGUAGAAUUCCGUCGUGUCCAAUUCCCGAACACUAUAUAAAUGAUUCUAAGCUUUCAUUUGAAGCUUUUGGCCAUUUCUUCCAUAAACACUUCCAACCUCUCUCCUCAUCCAUAAUCAAAGGUCCAAAAUAAAGAAUUAAGGCUCCAAAUCGAAGAGGUAACAUCCUUAACUUGUUAUUCAACCUCUUUAGCCUUCAAAUUGAUGAUUAAAUUAAGUUUUGGGACCAAGAACAUGAGUUUACGGCCGUGAACUCCUCAAAAUGGGGUUUUAAGCCAAAUUUACCCUUCCAAAUCAUAGUUGGGACUUAGAUAUGACCUUGAGGCUUGCAAAUCUAGACUUGGUACACAUUAAACAUGAAUUUUAGGGGACAAAAGAGAGUUUAUGGCCAAGGCUCCUUCUUGGGCCGUAAACUCCUCUAAAAUGGGGACUAAGUGCCUUUAAACAUGUCCAAAUGCCUUGAAACUCAACCAAUGGCCUUGUGGUAAAUCCUAGAAUCAUCUAAAAAUGGUUUGGAGACCUUAAACACAUCAAAUGUCAUACAUAUUGGAGUUUACAGCCUAAGCACAUAGCCUUUGGCCGUAAACUCAUAUAGUGAUGCCAAAAAUGCUCCUAAUUCACCCUUAAGGCUUGGAAAAAUUCCUAGAAUUACAUAUGAGUGUUUUAAACAUCAAAAUCUAAUUUUUCUCAACCAUACUAGAGUUUACGGCCAGAGAGUAUGUAUCUGGGCCAUAAACUCAUACAAAGGUGUUAAUUGAAGCCAAAAAUUGAUACCAAGCCUUAGAAAAUUAGUUAGAAUCACAUGUGAUUGUCCUUCGUAGCUCAAAUUAAUCAUUCUUGGCCAUGGGUGAGUUUACGGCCGUAAACACCAAGUGUGUGGCCGUAAGCUCCCUUUUAAAUGGUAUAAUUACAUUUAAUCCAUUCCAAGGCAUUUUAGAAAUCCAUUCCAGCAAUCCCCAUGUCCAAACAAGCCAUUAAACACCCAAAUUCACACCAACAUGAGUUUAUGGUCGUAAACUCAUGUAUGGGUGUGUUUUGUGGUUGUAAACUCAUUUAAAUGUUUACUUAUGGAGAGUAAACUCAAGUCCCAAGUCCCUAGUGCCAUUACACGUCCGAAGAUGUCACCCGGGUCACUCCAAACGCUCAUUUUGAGGUGUUUAACCUCAUUGGAGUGUAAUGUUCCAUAUGAUUAGUGAAUGUAUCCCUAAUUGUAUAUAUAUGGACAUUAUUUCAUUUUACAUAGGGACAUCGCGAGUAAUCAAACCCCGAACCAACGUCUAGUAUCCAAAACCGACACGUUUCCGAGUCCGGUGAGUUCAUACCCCUACCUUUUUCACUGUUUUUCACUGUUUUCAGGGGGGAACACAAGCAAAGUACAAGGGUUUUCUUGUACUCAAAACUUAUUUUCAUGUGUGUGUGUUUCACAUUUCAUAUGCUUUUAAUAUUGAUUACACAACUGAUAACUAGUAGAAUAUACAGAUCACUUAAACAUUUAUUUGUGAAAUGGGUUUUAUAAACUGUUAUGUUUUAUAUAUUUCACAAAUGGUUUCCACAUUUUAUCAGUUAAAAGCAUGACUUUAUAACACAUGAACAAUAUAUUUCGUACACUGUCUUGUCCUCGGUAACAUUCCACAGAGAUACGCGAAUGGAGGAUUAUCCUAUUAUUACUAGUAAAUUUGUUAUUCCGUAUGAUUGGAGACACGUCCUCGGCGAACACUCCACAGAGAUACGCGAGUGGAGGACUACACCCGUAACCAGAAUCUCUGGAAUUUAGAGAGCGUGACUUGAGUGUAUAGAUCUAUACGGGGCUGACUACCCCACACCUGGCUGCUAGCUACAGCCGAACCGAAAUGGUUCAAGGGUGACGAAAGUCAUAAGGAUUGUGGACUACUUAUUGCCACAAGGUUGUGGACUACUUAUUGCCACAGGUUCAGUCUUUAGUAUGGUUAUGGAACUCGCAACUAGGAUAACAGAGAUUUACUUAUAGUAAUAAUGAACCACAUACUACAUUUUACAGAUAACCAGGAUUCAGUUUACAUCUUUUACAUCUUUUACAUCUUUUACAUAUGAUAACCAACAUUCAGGAAGGUAUGGGACCUUCCUGGGGAAACUUUGUACAUAACCAGGUUUAACAGAAUACAUCUUUCACAUUGAAAACCAACAUACAGGAAAGCAUGGGACAUUCCUGGGUAACAUAUACAUAACCAGAAAAGUGUAACCAACUGAAUAACAUUACAUCUUUUAUAAUAACUACCAUUCAGGAAAGUAUGGGACUUUCCUGGGAAUACACUGGUACAUAAAAGAAAUAGAACAAUGAAUUGGAUAACCAAACUAUACUUUACUUUUGUGAAACAACAACCAACUUUUAAGAAAAUAUGGGAUUUUCUUGGCGUGUGUUACAUUUUCAGAAACAGAAAGGAAACAUAAACAUUUUCACAAAACAAAACUACUUAUGAACUCACCAGCGUUAUGCUGAUUUUCAAAUUGCUUGUGUUCUCAGGUCAACGAUAGUACAGGUACCCGAAGACUUACUUGGUUAAGGAUCGUGUGCGUGCAAGGCUCGUUCAUUUUGUUUAUAUCUAUAUUAUGUAUCACAACUGUAUAAACUGUGUCUUUUGAAACAAAUUGUAAAACUUUUAAUAUGUAAUGUAAUGUUUGUUUCACUUUACUUACUAUGUACAUUGGAUUUGAUACUCAACGUGGAGUCAACCCCGGAAAUGUUUCCGCCUUCGGUUUUCGGGGUGUGACAGAUUGGUAUCAGAGCCCUUGUUUAUAGUGAAUAAAGUAUACCAAACCUUACAUGGUAUAAAACUAUAAACACUAAAGGGCCUAAGUGCUCUGAAAUAAAAGUAUCUUCAGACUACAAGUAUUUUCAAAAAUAUACAAGUAUACCGAACCGUCGAGAUUCGUAUCUAUAAGUAGAACAAAACAUAAGUAAAUGGGUGUUGUGUAUUGCAGUUAAACCUGGGCAGUUAUGUAGUCGUGUCUAGGGUCAAUAUAGCCUGGCCAACUAUAUUCAUUCGAGACACGGCCAACAUGUGCUUGGGAGUGACUGUGGUAUGCGGCAUGCCUAAAACUUACCCUAAUACCACAAACAUCGAGCCAGUAUCGUAGCAAACCAUGAAAUACUAUGGGAGUAUUUCUCGAAUCAUCGUACAUGUAUAGACCCCCGAUCAUUCCGUUAGCGAUAGUUUACUUGCUUCAAUAACUCUUUCCUGCUUUACCGCUUAAUUGGAAUUAAUAUCUGUCAUAUCUCUCGAUUCAGAGGACUUAUCAUCCUCUCUCUUUAUUGAUCUUAUUAGAUCAAGAUGCCUCCCAGGAAGAGACCCAGCUCCAACAACCCUCCGCCACCUCCUCCUGAAAUCGAUCCCGUGUUAUUUCAAACAGCUGUUACCGCCGCGGUGGCAGCUGCCAUGUCCCAGCUAAAUACCGGUGGUUCAGGAGGUAGUAAUCAAAAUCAAGAUGGUAAUCAGGAACGCCGUAAGGAGGGUUCCUAUAAGGACUUCAUGAAUGCGAAGCCUUCUUUCUUCAAUGGCACUGGUGGUGUCAUUUCCUUAUCCCGAUGGUUCGAGAGAAUCGAAUCCAUCUUCGAAAUCUGUGCCUGUGAUGAGUCCGAUAAGGUCAAGUUCGCAGCUUGUACCUUCCUUGAUAAAGCAUUGACUUGGUGGAAUGGCCGAGUCAAAUCCUUAACUCUCCCUGUAGCCAAUGCCAUGGGCUGGGAGGCUAUGAAAGAACUCCUCCUUGCUGAAUAUUGUCCCCGAGGCGAAAUGCAGAAGCUAGAGCACGAGCUCUGGAACCUGAAGAUGAAAGGUUCCGACAUUGCUGCCUACACUUCCCGAUUUGAUGAUCUUGCCCUUCUUUGCCCUGGUCUAGUCACCCCUGAAAGCAAAAAGAUCGAGAGGUUUAUUUGGGGGUUAACCAAUCCGACAAAAGGUCAUGUCUUAGCUGCUCGCCCAGAUACUUAUGAUAGUGCUAAGACUUUAGCCCAAGCCAUAAUUCACCACAGUGAUGAUGUUGAGGAAGCCACCACUGCUACCCCUGAGUCGACCAAAAGCAGUGGUGAGAAAAGGAAAUUCUGGAAGAAGAAGAAGGGUCAAUCUUCCCAAGGCUCCUCCAAAAGACAACAAACAGUAGCAGUUCAUGCUGCUACUACCCCCGUAGCUGCUGCUUCUGUUGUGGGAUCCACAGCACCAACUCCUACCAGCCGAUAUGUUGGUAACCUCCCUCUUUGUGAAAAAUGCAAGUAUCACCACAACCCUGGUCCCUGUCGAGAACUAUCCUGUACCAAUUGUGGUAAGAAGGGGCACACUGUUCGAUACUGCAAAGCUCCGACUCAAUCAGCAAAUCAAUCCUCUGGAACAGGCGUUGGUCAAGCCUGUUAUAACUGUGGUGAAGCCGGGCACUUUAAAAGGAACUGCCCCAAGAAGACUACUGCUGGCAACACCGGAAGGGUCCUUGCUAUGGGACGGGAAGAAGCAGUUGCCGAUCCCAAUGUUGUCUCGGGUACGUUUCUUCUCGACAACUCGUAUGCUAAUAUUCUUUUCGAUUCGGGUGCUGAAAGAAGUUUUAUUAGUCAUGCAUUCAAACAUAACCUAAAACAUGAUUCCCAACCUCUAACCGAAAUAUUUACCGUCGAGAUGGCAAACGGAGAGAAAGAAAGUGCGAGUGAGGUAUUCGUAGAUUGCACUCUUACCUUGAACGACCAUUCAUUUCCUAUCGAUCUUAUGCCAGUAUCCAUAAAGAGCUUUGAUGUCAUCAUUGGCAUGGAUUGGUUGAGUCCCAAUCAUGCAGAUAUCCUUUGUUUCGAAAAAGCCAUCCGUCUCAACCUUCCUUCGGGUCAAACCCUAGUGAUCUAUGGCGAUAAACUCGGUUCCAACCUUCUUAUCAUUUCCUGCAUCAAAGCUCAGAAACUCCUGCGAAAGGAGUGUAUUGCAUUCUUGGCCCAUGUAAUCAACGAGAAACAGGAAGUUAAAGACCUCGCGAGCAUCCCCGAGGUCUGUAAUUUUCCUGAUGUGUUUCCCGAAGAGCUUCCAGGAAUCCCUCCCGAGCGUCAGGUCGAGUUUCGUAUUGACCUAAUUCCUGGAGCUACUCCCGUAGCGAAGUCUCCGUAUCGCUUAGCUCCAGCAGAGAUGCAGGAGUUAUCCAGUCAACUUAAUGAGUUGCUUAGUAAAGGAUUCAUUAGACCGAGUUCCUCACCCUGGGGAGCUCCGGUUUUGUUUGUCAAGAAGAAAGAUGGAUCCUUUCGUAUGUGUAUCGAUUAUCGCCAGUUGAACAAGUUGACUGUCAAAAACCGAUAUCCUCUCCCGUGAAUAGAUGACCUCUUCGAUCAACUCCAGGGAGCCAGUUACUUCUCUAAGAUAAACCUUCGAUCAGGGUACCAUCAGCUACGAGUUCAUGAAAGUGAUGUGUCCAAAACAGCUUUCGGGACUCGAUAUGGACAGUAUGAGUUCGUAGUGAUGCCCUUUGGUCUAACCAACGCACCGGCAGUGUUCAUGGAUCUGAUGAAUCGGGUGUGUCGUCCUUAUUUGGAUAAGUUUGUCAUAGUAUUCAUCGAUGACAUACUCGUCUAUUCCCGAAGUGAAGAAGACCACAAACAACACUUGAGGCUAGUGUUGGAGACCCUGCGAUCCGAGAAGUUGUACGCGGAAUUUUCCAAGUGCGAGUUCUGGAUACGGAAGGUAACUUUCCUCGGUCACGUCGUAAGUAAGGAGGGUAUUCAUGUUGAUCCUUCCAAGAUUAAAGCGAUAGAGAAUUGGUCAGCACUGAAGAUGUGACAUCCCCAAAAUCUCGGCCAGAAAAGACCGAUUUUUAUUUAUGCUUUUAAAUAUUUUCAGAGUAUACCCUUUUGAUUUGAAAGAGUUGCGGAAUUUGUUCCCAAAACAAAACAUGAUAAAAUAAUAUUUAUCAAAGCAUUUCAUCAAGAGAUGCAUUUCAUUAUAUAAUCAAAACUCGGGAUGUCAUGUUCCGAUACAGACCAUAAAGCAUAAACGAUAAACAUUACAAGUCAUUCAACAAAUAUAUACAUAUACAGACUUGUAAACAAAACAACAAGAUGAUCCAUCCAUCUUACGCCCUUGUGCCACUUCCUGUAAUACAAAUAAAACUGAGUGGGUCAGACUUGGGAGCCUGGUGAGCAUAUAGGGUUUUCAACCCACAAUAAAUAAGUUAUAUUUAAUUUCACCAACCAAUCACUAUCCCGAUUACCCAUUCCCGUUAUCCUCACUUUACGUCCCUAAAACAACUAUCUCAAGGGACCUAAUCUAGGAUUUUCAUCGGGACGGACAUCACUGCGAAGGGGUUUCCUCAACAAUAGAUAUCCUAAAGGCAACCAUGAGGGGGAUAGAGUACACCGGUGAACACAUCGUUCACAACACCUACAGGUUAUGAACCUGCUAGCGUUCCACUGGACUGUCUAGAAAGAGUCCGUGGUCGUUAUCCAUACUCCGCUGAAUAACUAGAUCAACAACAACAACAACAUCGAGGCCUCUCAUCUGUUUAUUACACACCAACUAUCUACCCAUGUUCUACCCAACAUAUUAGUAGAUAAAAAUAUACAUUUGUAUACAUAGUUUAAAGAAAACCUGUAUAGCAUGCUUUAAUCAACACAUAUAUCACAUAACAGAUGAGGCACACACACACAUAACACAUAUCUCAUAAAGAAAUAAGCAGAUCUAUAAGAUAGAAGAGAGUGAAUACUCAUUCACACAUAACACAACCAAAUAUAUACACAUAGCACGUAUUUUUAUAUAAAAUACUUCGUAUUAUUGUAUUAGAAGAAAUAACUACACACUCACUUGAUCAGAAGAUGAUCGGACAGCACUACGGCUUAUAGAAGUAGUAAUCCACAGCAGAUCUGGAAGAUCUUCUCGAAAAUCGAACUUCUCGCGGGCAGAGCUUCGACUCGGGAACCGCACUUUUCGGGAUCUUCAGGAUCUCGGGACUUGCCUCGGGGCUAGAGUAUGAUACCGGGACUUCGGGGUAGCUUCGGGGGUUUUUGCACAGAGCUUCGACACGAAAACGAGAGGGAAUUGGCAAAAAUACCCGGAACCCUCGCAUCCUAUUUAUAGGAGGCUGGAGCCUCGGAGUACGCGGGGCGUACUGCGUUACGCGGGGCGUACUGCCCAAAACGUCAUUGCUUACGUAUCCGAAGUGCUCGAGUGCGAGUGUCGACAUCCCUCGGAGUACGCGGGGCGUACUCGAGUACGCGGGGCGUACCUCGGAUCAGAUCGGUGACUCCUUCGGAUAAUGCUUCCGAAUUUUGAAUUAAAAAUAAAUACAAAAUGAUUAAUAAACUUCGGAAAUUCAUAACUUCUUCAUACGAACUCCGUUUUCGACGUUCUUUAUAUCCACGCGAAGGUGAGACCACGCUCUACGACUUUCGUUUAGACUCCGUCGGCUAAUUUUGACUUUAUUUUUAUUAAUUAUUUUUAAUAGGCCGGGACAGAAACUUUCGUUAUAAAUUCAUAACUUCUUCGUUUGACGUCCGUUCUCGCCUAACUUUUUAUCGUUUCAAUACCAACAAUGAGAUCUUCGAUUCUCAUUUAGAUUGCUUCGGCUAACAACCGCUCGAUCUCAAAUCGAGUAAAACAGGCUGUAUAUCGCUAAGCCGGAACUUCGAUAAAUCAUAACUUCCUCAUACGAAGUCAGAUUUGGGCGUUCUAUAUAUAUUCGGAAACCUCGUUUCAACUACUACAACAUUAACCAAAGAUAUUAAGUUUAUUUUACACUUAAAUUUUGACGCUUAUUUUUAUUCUUAAUUAAUCAAACCACAUAAUUAAGCAAUUAAGCACAAAACACAUAAUACUCAAAUAAUACAAUCUUAUUAUUUCAAAACGGGUUACAAAGGUUAACCUAGACUAUUACAUUGCUAAAAAUGGCAAGCCCGGAAACACAGGCGUUACAAUUCUCUCCACCUUAGAAUGAUUCCGUCCCCGGAAUCACACAUCAACAAACAAAUGCGGAUAGCGACUCAACAUGUCACUCUCCGUCUCCCAGGUGAGAUUCGGCCCAUUCGUGUGUUUCCAUCGGACAAGCACUAACCCAACCAUUUUGCGUCGCAACUUCUUAGUCUUUCGGUCAACAAUUGCCUCUGGUUCUUCAAUCAACCUUUUGUUCUCAUCAAUUCUCAAUUCAGAAAUUGGAAUUAUAUCGGGAACUUCUCCCGUGAACUUCCUCAAAUAACACACAUGAAAGGUGUUGUGAAUUCCAUUCAGUUCUUCGGGUAAUUCGAGCUUGUAAGCUUGAUUCCCAAUCCUCUGAAGGACUUUAAACGGUCCAAUAAACCUUGGACUCAACUUUCCCCUUUUACCAAAUCUUAUAAGUCCCUUCCACGGCGAGACUUUAAGCAAAACCGAAUCUCCAACCUCAAAAGUCAUCGGUCUUCGCUUCUUGUCAGCAUAGCUCUUUUGACGAUCUUGAGCUGCUAACAUUCUUUCCCUAAUUAUUUUCAACUUUUCAGCAGUUUGAUGAACCAUCUCCGGUCCCAUAAACUGCUUUUCCCCAGCCUCAAGCCAACAAGACGGCGUACGACACUUCUGUCCAUACAAAGCUUGAUAAGGUGCCAUCUUAAUGCUCGAGUGAAAACUAUUAUUAUAGGAAAAUUCUACCAACGGUAAAUGUUCAUCCCAAUUACCUAGGAAUUCCAAGGUACAUGCUCUCAGCAUAUCUUCAAGUGUUUGUAUUGUUCUUUCACUCUGACCAUCAGUCUGCGGAUGGUAAGCUGUGCUUAAACAUAACUUGGUACCCAUUUCCUCUUGUAGACUUUUCCAAAACCUUGAGGUGAAACGGCUAUCACGAUCCGAUACAAUCGUUAACGGAACACCGUGAAGCCUCACAAUUUCCUUCACGUAAGAAUUCGCAAGCUUUUCCAUAGACCAUUUCUCCCUGGCCGCUAUGAAAUGCGCACUCUUAGUGAAUCGAUCAACGACCACCCAAAUCAUGUCGUGACCAUUCUUUGUUCUGGGCAGUUUAGUGACAAAAUCCAUAGCAAUGUCUUCCCACUUACCCAUAGGCACAGGCAAUGGUUCUAAACUCCCGUAAGGUUUCUGAUGUUGUGUCUUGACUCUCGCACAAGUCACACACUCGGCCACAUACUUUGCAACAUCAAGCUUCAUCGUCGGCCACCAGUAGUAGGGUUUCAGGUCCCUAUACAUUUUAGUGCUACCCGGAUGAAUUGAGUACAUGGUUUUGUGAGCUUCUUCCAUCAGAAGAUCCCUAAUUCCUCCUGACUUAGGUACCCAAAUACGAUCUUGGAAUACCUUCAGUCCAUGACCGUUAGUACCAAACACCAACGUUUUACCCAAACGUUCCUCCUUUCGGUCAUUUUUCUCAGAAGCUUCCUCUUGAGCUUUCUUUAUACUUUCCACAAUAGUCGAGACAACUUCAAUUCUCAACGCUCUUGGCCUCUUCCUUUCAAGAUUGACUUUCCGACUGAGAGCAUCAGCAACAACAUUAGCUUUACCGGGGUGGUAAAGUAUCUCGCAGUCGUAGUCUUUAAGUAAUUCUAGCCAGCGUCGUUGCCUCAUAUUCAAUUCUUUCUGAUUAAAGAGGUAUUGGAGACUCUUAUGAUCAGUGAAAAGUUUGCACUUCGUGCCAUAGAGGUAAUGCCUCCAUAUUUUCAGAGCGAAAACUACCGCUGCCAACUCCAAAUCAUGAGUCGGGUAAUUCUUUUCAUGCUCUUUCAGCUGUCGAGACGCAUAUGCUAUCACCUUUUCUCUUUGGGUCAAAACACAACCCAAUCCAACACCAGACGCAUCGCUAUAAACAGCGAAGUCUUCAACUCCAUCGGGUAGAGAAAGUAUCGGUGCCUCGCAUAGCUUCUUCUUUAACUUCUCGAAUGCUUCUUUAUGCUUCUCACUCCAAGCAUAAGUAGCUCCUUUGUGGGUCAAAGCUGUUAAUGGAGUAGCAAUCGAAGAAAAGCCUUGGAUAAACCUUCGGUAAUAUCCGGCUAAUCCUAAAAAGCUUCGAAUCUCCGUGGGACUUUUCGGUUGUUCCCACUUCGUCACAGCUUCGAUCUUCGCUGGAUCAACCAUUAUCCCUUCUUGGUUGACCACGUGACCCAAGAAUUGGACCUCACGAAUCCAAAAAUCACAUUUGGAGAACUUCGCAUAAAGCUUCUCCUUCUUCAAAACUUCUAACACUUCUCGCAAGUGUCUGCCAUGCUCCUCCUGGCUUUUCGAGUAGAUCAGAAUGUCGUCUAUGAACACUAUCACGGAUUUAUCAAGGAAAGGAUUACAAACCCUAUUCAUCAAAUCCAUGAACGCUGCUGGAGCAUUGGUUAGUCCAAACGACAUAACCAAGAACUCGUAGUGUCCAUAUCUAGUUCUGAAUGCAGUCUUCUCGAUAUCUUGCUCUCUUACUUUCAGCUGAUGAUAUCCUGACCUAAGAUCGAUCUUCGAGAAAUAGCUCGAACCUUGCAAUUGAUCAAACAGGUCAUCAAUCCUCGGCAACGGAUAUCUAUUCUUUAUUGUUGCCUUGUUCAGCUCUCUGUAAUCGAUGCACAUUCUCAUACUUCCAUCUUUCUUCUUUACAAAUAACACCGGAGCUCCCCAGGGCGAUGAACUAGGUCUAAUGAAACCUUUGUCCAAUAACUCCUGAAGUUGCAUCAUCAGCUCCUUCAUCUCCGUCGGUGCUAAUCGAUAAGGUGCUUUUGCUAUUGGCGUGGUUCCUGGUAACAAGUCUAUUCUGAACUCCACUUGUCUAUCAGGUGGUAAUCCAGGAAGAUCCUCGGGAAAUACUUCCGGAUAAUCACACACCACUGGAAUGCUCUGCAUCACCUUCUUUUCUUUCUUAGCAUCAAUCACGAAUGCUAAAUAUGAUGUACAUCCCUUGGUCAAACACUUUCUGGCUUUCAUUAGAGAAAUGAUUCCAGAAUUCACUCUGCGUUUGUCCCCAUACACCAUAAACGAAUCUUUCCCAGGCGGGUUUACUUUAACUAUCUUCUUCUUGCACAAAAUUUCGGCAUCAUUGGCGCUAAGCCAAUCCAUUCCCAAGACGAUGUCGAAACCAUUUAGUUCGAUAGGCAAUAAUUCCUCGAGAAACUUAUUCCCAUUAAGGUCGAUCAAGACGUUUUUCAUACGAUGGCUAACAGGUACAAACUUGCCACUAGCUACUUCGACUAAUAAAGCAUUAUCUAGUCUAUCAACAGGCAAAGCUAGCUUUCUACCAAACUCAUGCGAAAUAAAGGAGUAGUUGGCUCCAGAAUCAAACAAUAUAUGAGCAGGUAAUUCGUUUACGAGAAAGGUACCUGAAGCGACAUCAGCUUCAUCUUUCGCAGCCUCAAGUGUCAUCUGGAAGGCUCUCGCCUUCGGCUUUGGUGGAAUGUUGGGCCUAGCUGCCUCCUUCUUCUUCGGACAGUCUUUCAAAAUAUGCCCCUCUUCAUUACACCCAAAACACAUCCUUUUGUUGUUCGGACAUUCAUUGGCAAAAUGUCCAACCUUUCCACACUUGUAGCAGGUCACAUCCUCGCUACAUUUCCCAAAGUGCUUUUUCUUACACUUAUCACACCACUUUGCUUCGCCUCCUUUUCCUCCAAACUUUUUCGAAUCAGAUUUCGAAAAUUUGCUCUUCUUACUGGAACCAGAUGUUCCUUCAAACUUCCUUUUCUCACCAACCUCAACCUUGACGGUGGUUCUCCCCUUGAUCAUGUUCUCCACAGACUUGGCAGCCCAGAUAGCUGCCUCUAGAGUAAGUGCCUGACGUACCGGCACCUCGUACUCCCAUGGAAGUCCCUUCGCAUACCGAUCCACCUUUGUCAGCUCGUCUGGAACGAUACGCAAGGCAAACUCCAUCUUAUCGGUGAAGUUAUUGGUGUACUCAUCCACUGACAUGCUACCCUUCGUCAAUGUCAAAAACUUGUUCUCCAACUCCAACAGAUUUUGAGCCGAGCAGAACUUGCGCUUGAACUGCACCAAGAACUCUGCCCAUGACAAUUGCAGUGGCUCAUUAGGGCUUAAGGUCUUCCCUAGAGUGUUCCACCAACGAACGGCUCCACCUCGGAAUUGUCGCACGGCAUAGAUAGUCUGCAACUUGCCUCUACAGCCACAUGUCAUAAAGGCUAACUCCAUUUCGGAGAUCCAAUCCAUAACCCCAAUCGGAUCCUCCUUUCCAUUGAAGGUCGAUGGUUUACAAGUCAAAAAGUCCUUGUACUUGCAUCCCAUUCCAUCAUUCCUUCCAUCAUGGUUAUCUUGCCUAACUAUCGGUGGGUUGGCUGGACCAACAGACCCACUGAAGUUUCCACCUUCCGAGUGCCCUUCAUUCAGUUCAGGCUCUUCCACACGAAUCGACAGUUCUUCACGAUUUUGUUGAAGCAACCGUCUAGUUUCAUCCAUCUGACGAUCCAACAUCGUCUGAAUCAUCAAUUGCACACCAGCCAUGGUUAUUGGCUCAGGUGCUGCUGCUACGACAGGUAUUGGCUCAAUCACUGGUGGUUGAUUCCUGUUUUCGUCAGCAUUUCCAACUCCACUUCUUGUUCUCACCAUUUUGAUCUACACCGAAUAAGGUGAAAUUAGAUCCUCAAUCAUGAUAGAUAUUCAAAUCAUCCUUAUCACUCCGAAACGUUUACAUGCUAGUUCUAAUAUCGUAGACGUACGCUUAGAAUCCUACACACAUAAGGUUUCUAGAUCCGGUCGGCAACAGACCAUAGAUCCGAACAAAUAAUAUCAUAUAUGGCAACAUAUAACAUUUAGCACAUAAAGCAUUUUAGGCAACUUUCCUAAAAUAAACUAGUGCUCGUGUCUAAAUCACAACAGACACACAUCUCAAAACUUCACUUAGCAUUCUAAGUUUAAGUCUAGAAAUCCUACAAAUUCCUAGUUCGCUUAAACUAAUGCUCUGAUACCAACUGUGACAUCCCCAAAAUCUCGGCCAGAAAAGACCGAUUUUCAUUUAUGCUUUUAAAUAUUUUCAGAGUAAAUCCUUUUGAUUUGAAAGAGUUGCGGAAUUUGUUCCCAAAAACAAAACAUGAUAAAACAUUGUUUACCGAAGCAUUUCAUAAAAGAAAUGUAUUUUCAUUAUAAUCAAAACUCGGGGUGUCAUGUUCCGAUACAGACCAAUAAGCAUAAACGAAUACAUUACAAGUCAUAUAACAAAUAUAAACAUAUGCAGACUUGUAAACAAAACAACUUGAUGGUUCAUCCAUCUCAUGCCCUUCCGCCACUACCUGUAAUACAAUUUAAAACUGAGUGGGUCAGGCUUGGGAGCCUGGUGAGCAUAUAGGGUUUUCAACCCACAAUAAAUAUCAUAUUUAAUUUUCACCAACCAACAAUAACCCAAUUACCCAUUCCCGUUAUUCUCACUUUAAUGUCCCUAAAACAACUAACAUAAGGGACCUAGUCUAAGAAUAUUUCAUCGGGGCGACAACACAUGCUUCGGGGGUACCUCAGCAAUAUAAGUCAAAUAAGGCAACCAUGAGGGGGAUGGAGUACAGCGAAUGAACACCCAAGUUCAUUAACACCUACAGGUGGCGAACCUGCUAAUGUUUCCACAAGACUGUCUAGAAUAGCCAGUGGUCGUCAUCUAAACUCCGCUAGAUGACUCAAUCAAACAACAACGAGGCCUCUCAUCUGUUUAUUACACACCAACUGUCUACCCAUGUUCUACCCAACAUAUUAGUAGAUAAAAAUAUACAUUUGUAUACAUAGUUUAAAGAAAACCUGUAUAGCAUGCUUUAAUCAACACAUAUAUCACAUAACAGAUGAGGCACACACACACAUAACACAUAUCUCAUAAAGAAAUAAGCAGAUCUAUAAGAUAGAAGAGAGUGAAUACUCAUUCACACAUAACACAACCAAAUAUAUACACAUAGCACGUAUUUUUAUAUAAAAUACUUCGUAUUAUUGUAUUAGAAGAAAUAACUACACACUCACUUGAUCAGAAGACGAUCCGACAGCACUACGGCUUAUAGAAGUAGUAAUCCACAGCAGAUCUGGAAGAUCUCCUCGAAAAUCGAACUUCUCGCGGGCAGAGCUUCGACUCGGGAACCGCGCUUCUCGGGAUCUUCGGGAUCUCGGGACUUGCCUCGGGGCUAGAGUAUGAUACCGGGGCUUCGGGGUAGCUUCGGGGGUAAAAAUGCAGAGCUUCGACACGAAAAUGAGAGGGAAUUGGCAAAAAUACCCGGAACCCUCGCAUCCUAUUUAUAGGAGGCUGGAGCCUCGGAGUACGCGGGGCGUACUGCGUUACGCGGGGCGUACUGCCCAAAACGUCAUUGCUUACGUAUCCGAAGUGCUCGAGUGCGAGUGUCGACAUCCCUCGGAGUACGCGGGGCGUACUCGAGUACGCGGGGCGUACCUCGGAUCAGAUCGGUGACUCCUUCGGAUAAUGCUUCCGAAUUUUGAUUUAAAUAUAAAUACAAAAUGAUUAAUAAACUUCGGAAAUUCAUAACUUCUUCAUACGAACUCCGUUUUCGACGUUCUUUAUAUCCACGGAAAGGUGAGACCAUGCUCUACGACUUUCGUUUAGACUCCGUCGGCUAAUUUUGACUUUAUUUUUAUUAAUUAUUUUUAAUAGGCCGCGACAGAAACUUUCGUUAUAAAUUCAUAACUUCUUCGUUUGACGUCCGUUCUCGCCUAACUUUUUAUCGCUUCGAUACCAACAAUGAGAUCUUCGAUUCUCAUUUAGAUUGCUUCGGCUAACAACCGCUCGAUCUCAAUUCGAGUAUUUCAGGCUGUAUACCGCUAAGCCGGAACUUCGAUAAAUCAUAACUUCCUCAUACGAAGUCAGAUUUGGGCGUUCUAUAUAUAUUCGGAAACCUCGUUUCGACUACUACAACAUUAACCAAAGAUAUUAAGUUUAUUUUACAAAUUUUUUUUGACGCUUAUUUUUAUUCUUAAUUAAUCAGACCACAUAAUUAAGCAAUUAAGCACAAAACACAUAAUACUCAAAUAAUACAAUCUUAUUAUUUCAAAACGGGUUACAAAGGUUAACCUAGACUAUUAUAUUGCUAAUAACGGCAAGCCCGGAAACACAGGCGUUACAAUUCUCUCCACCUUAGAAUGAUUCCGUCCCCGGAAUCACACAUCAACAAACAAAUGCGGAUAGCGACCCAUCAUGUCACUCUCCGUCUCCCAGGUGAGAUUCGGCCCAUUCGUGUGUUUCCAUCGGACAAGCACUAACCCANCAGAAAGGUCUACCCUUUUGUUGGAGUGAUAAACAAGAAACCGCAUUCCAGACACUGAAGAAAGCUUUGUGCAGCGCGCCUGUUCUGUCCCUACCCGAGGGGACAGAGGAUUUCGUUAUCUACUGUGAUGCAUCUAAUCAAGGUUUAGGCUGUGUGCUUAUGCAAAGAGGAAAAGUAAUUGCCUAUGCUUCUAGACAGUUGAAAACGCACGAGGUCAACUAUACCACACACGACUUGGAGCUAGGAGCCGUAGUCUUUGCGUUGAAGAUUUGGAGGCAUUACCUCUACGGAACCAAGUGCACAAUUUUCACUGACCACAAAAGCCUGCAACACAUCUUUGAUCAGAAAGACUUGAACAUGAGGCAACAACGAUGGGUGGAGCUACUCAGUGAUUAUGAGUGCGAAAUUCGUCACCAUCCUGGCAAGGCUAAUGUGGUAGCAGAUACCCUUAGCCGAAAGGAGAGUACAGGCCACAAGGUGAAGAGCCAGUCAAUGAUCAUCCAUUCCAACCUACCCAUGCAAAUCCGAGAAGCUCAGUUAGAAGCCCUUAAACCCGAGAACAUGUCAACUGAAGCCAUGAGGGGAAUGGAAAAGAAACUUGAGAUCAGAGGUGACGGAGUCCAUUGUUUCAUGGAUCGGAUCUGGAUUCCCAAGUCCGGAGGAUUCAGAGAGUUAGUCAUGGAGGAAGCACACAGAACCAGAUACUCUGUUCACCCGGGCUCUGACAAGAUGUACUUAGAUCUCAAGAAACAAUAUUGGUGGCCAAAUAUGAAGGCUGAGAUAGCUACAUUUGUGGGAAAGUGUUUGACUUGCGCCAAGGUAAAAGUUGAGCACCAGAAACCCUCGGGUUUACUCCAGCAACCCAAGAUACCCGAAUGGAAAUAGGAGAUGAUGAGCAUGGAUUUCAUCACCAAACUACCCAUGUGCUCGAGUGGGUAUGAUACCAUUUGGGUGAUUGUUGAUCGUUUGACAAAGUCAGCUCACUUCGUUCCAAUCAAAGAAUCAUACAAGAUGGAAAGACUCGCGCGGAUUUAUAUCCAGGAGGUAGUCCGACUGCACGGUGUACCUGCGUCCAUUAUCUCUGAUCGAGAUAGCAGGUUUACCUCCCGAUUUUGGCAGUCUCUCCAGAAAGCUCUUGGAACCAAACUAGAUAUGAGCACGGCGUAUCAUCCUCAGACAGAUGGACAGAGUGAGAGAACAAUCCAAACUCUGGAAGACAUGCUUAGGGCAUGUGUCAUUGACUUUGGAAAGUCGUGGGACGCACAUCUACCUUUGAUCGAAUUCUCGUACAACAACAGUUAUCACACCAGCAUUAGGGCUGCCCCGUUCGAAGCCCUAUACGGUCGUAAGUGCAGAUCCCCUCUGUGCUGGGCCGAGGUGGGAGAUACACAGUUAGCCAAGAGUCGAGUCCCCGACAGUGCUCUCACUGGUCCUGAAAUCAUCCGUGAAACCACCGAGAAGAUCAUCCAAAUCCGAGAACGACUGAAAGCUUCACGUGAUCGCCAGAAGAGUUACGCUGAUAACCGUCGGAAACCACUGGAAUUUCAGGUUGGAGACCAUGUCCUGUUGAAGGUCUCGCCCUGGAAAGGCACUGUACGCUUUGGUAAGCGUGGGAAACUUAAUCCGAGGUACAUUGGACCUUUCGAGAUCCUCGCCAGGAUUGGUCCGGUAGCCUAUAAACUUCGUUUACCUCACGAGCUCAGUAACAUCCAUCCUGUCUUCCAUGUUUCAAAUCUCAAGAAGUGCCUAUCCGAUGAAACCCUAGUGAUUCCUUUAGACGAGAUCGAGAUCGAUGAAAACCUCAACUUCGUGGAGGAACCGAUCGAAAUCAUGGAUCGAGAAAUCAAGCGUACGAAACAAAGUCGCAUCCCGUUAGUGAAGGUUCGCUGGAAUGCCAAGCGGGGACCGGAGUUCACUUGGGAGCGAUAAGACUCGAUGAAACAGAAGUAUCCACAACUCUUUCCAGAUCCAUGAUUUGUAUUAGUCUUGUAUUUUGUCUUGAAUUUCGGGACGAAAUUCCCUCUAACGGGGGGAUAAUGUAACAACCCGAAAUUUCAUAUCACUUCUUGUAAUCCAAUUUGAUCAACCAAACGUCGUUUCCAAUUUCGUUUCCGAUUUCACCAUUUUAAUUAAGUCAUUAACUUGUACGUAUCUAAAAUGACUUAAUGGGUGUCUUAAUACAUUUAGAAAUCAUUUUAACACCCCACUUUAGUGAUCGGAAUAUUCCUAGAAUUUACCAUAUCGGGUUACGGCAACCUAAUCGGGUACGACCAAAAGCCUCGCCUAACGCCGGUAUCGGGUAGAAUUCCACCGUGUCCAAAACUUAGACACUAUAUAAAGUGUUUUAAGACUCCAUUUGAAGCCUUUGGCCAUUUUCUCAUAAAACUCUCCCAACCUCUCUCCUCAUCCAUAAUCAAAGGUCCAAAAACAAAGAUUUAAGGCUUCAAAUCAAAGAGGUAUCAUCCCUAACUUGUUAUCCAACCUCUUUAGCCUUCAAAUUGAUGUUUAAAUUAAGUUUUGGGACCAAGAACAUGAGUUUACGGCCAAGGAUCAAGCUUGGGCCGUAAACUCCUCAAAAUGGGGUUUUAAAGCC
rnacentral:lncRNA from 1 species